GAUGAACGCUGGCGGCGUGCCUAAUACAUGCAAGUCGAGCGAACGGACGAGAAGCUUGCUUCUCUGAUGUUAGCGGCGGACGGGUGAGUAACACGUGGAUAACCUACCUAUAAGACUGGGAUAACUUCGGGAAACCGGAGCUAAUACCGGAUAAUAUUUUGAACCGCAUGGUUCAAAAGUGAAAGACGGUCUUGCUGUCACUUAUAGAUGGAUCCGCGCUGCAUUAGCUAGUUGGUAAGGUAACGGCUUACCAAGGCAACGAUGCAUAGCCGACCUGAGAGGGUGAUCGGCCACACUGGAACUGAGACACGGUCCAGACUCCUACGGGAGGCAGCAGUAGGGAAUCUUCCGCAAUGGGCGAAAGCCUGACGGAGCAACGCCGCGUGAGUGAUGAAGGUCUUCGGAUCGUAAAACUCUGUUAUUAGGGAAGAACAUAUGUGUAAGUAACUGUGCACAUCUUGACGGUACCUAAUCAGAAAGCCACGGCUAACUACGUGCCAGCAGCCGCGGUAAUACGUAGGUGGCAAGCGUUAUCCGGAAUUAUUGGGCGUAAAGCGCGCGUAGGCGGUUUUUUAAGUCUGAUGUGAAAGCCCACGGCUCAACCGUGGAGGGUCAUUGGAAACUGGAAAACUUGAGUGCAGAAGAGGAAAGUGGAAUUCCAUGUGUAGCGGUGAAAUGCGCAGAGAUAUGGAGGAACACCAGUGGCGAAGGCGACUUUCUGGUCUGUAACUGACGCUGAUGUGCGAAAGCGUGGGGAUCAAACAGGAUUAGAUACCCUGGUAGUCCACGCCGUAAACGAUGAGUGCUAAGUGUUAGGGGGUUUCCGCCCCUUAGUGCUGCAGCUAACGCAUUAAGCACUCCGCCUGGGGAGUACGACCGCAAGGUUGAAACUCAAAGGAAUUGACGGGGACCCGCACAAGCGGUGGAGCAUGUGGUUUAAUUCGAAGCAACGCGAAGAACCUUACCAAAUCUUGACAUCCUUUGACAACUCUAGAGAUAGAGCCUUCCCCUUCGGGGGACAAAGUGACAGGUGGUGCAUGGUUGUCGUCAGCUCGUGUCGUGAGAUGUUGGGUUAAGUCCCGCAACGAGCGCAACCCUUAAGCUUAGUUGCCAUCAUUAAGUUGGGCACUCUAAGUUGACUGCCGGUGACAAACCGGAGGAAGGUGGGGAUGACGUCAAAUCAUCAUGCCCCUUAUGAUUUGGGCUACACACGUGCUGCAAUGGACAAUACAAAGGGCAGCGAAACCGCGAGGUCAAGCAAAUCCCAUAAAGUUGUUCUCAGUUCGGAUUGUAGUCUGCAACUCGACUACAUGAAGCUGGAAUCGCUAGUAAUCGUAGAUCAACAUGCUACGGUGAAUACGUUCCCGGGUCU
rnacentral:rRNA from 1 species